rnacentral:rRNA from 1 species
UACGAAGGGGGCUAGCGUUGCUCGGAAUCACUGGGCGUAAAGCGCACGUAGGCGGGUCGUUAAGUCGGGGGUGAAAUCCUGGAGCUCAACUCCAGAACUGCCUUCGAUACUGGCGAUCUUGAGUCUGGGAGAGGUGAGUGGAACUCCGAGUGUAGAGGUGAAAUUCGUAGAUAUUCGGAAGAACACCAGUGGCGAAGGCGGCUCACUGGCCCGGUACUGACGCCGAGGUGCGAAAGCGUGGGGAGCAAACAGG